AGUAACUUUGUUAACUCUCCUGUCUUUUCUUCUUCUACCAGAAAAGGGAGCAAUACAACUGUCUCAACCAUCACAGGCAUUUAAGAUUUAUGAUAUCUGUCAUGUGUCUCUAUCAACAUUCUCUUCUUUCUGUGCUCCACUGACUGCUUCAAACUGAAGCCCCCAAUCAAAGCCAUAAUCCAAGACUACCUCAGCUCGUCGGUUGAGGUUGAUGACGAGUGCCACCUGUCAGCCACAGCUGAAAAACUCAUUCUCCUAUUGUAAACCUUUUCUUUUACAAUAAGUGCUUAAGCAGAGACAGAAAAAUCAUAGUAGUUUAAUUUUUACUGUAUUGAUAUAGCAAAAGUACAAUUUUUGACAAUAAUUUUGACAAUAUAAUGGACCGGUCAUCAUCAAGAUCAGACUGCUGAAUACUGCACUGGAAAUGCUGAGAGUAUGAAGCAAGAGAAAGAAAAAGAGAGCGAACAAGCGCUAACCUGAAGAAAAUAGAGGAGAAGAAAGAAGAGGUAAAAAAGUGGAGUUUUAUGUCUGUUAUGGAAGGCAGGAAGAAGCUAUCUGAUACUGGGCAAUAAAAGGUAAAA